CCUACGGGAGGCAGCAGUGGGGAAUAUUGGACAAUGGGCGCAAGCCUGAUCCAGCAAUGCCGCGUGUGUGAAGAAGGUCUUCGGAUUGUAAAGCACUUUCGACGGGGACGAUGAUGACGGUACCCGUAGAAGAAGCCCCGGCUAACUUCGUGCCAGCAGCCGCGGUAAUACGAAGGGGGCUAGCGUUGCUCGGAAUGACUGGGCGUAAAGGGCGCGUAGGCGGAUGAUACAGUCAGAUGUGAAAUUCCCGGGCUCAACCUGGGGGCUGCAUUUGAUACGUGCUGUCUAGAGUGAGGAAGAGGGUCGUGGAAUUCCCAGUGUAGAGGUGAAAUUCGUAGAUAUUGGGAAGAACACCGGUGGCGAAGGCGGCGACCUGGUCCUUUACUGACGCUGAGGCGCGAAAGCGUGGGGAGCAAACAGGAUUAGAUACCCUGGUAGUCCACGCCGUAAACGAUGUGUGCUGGAUGUUGGGUGACAUAGUCACUCAGUGUCGUAGCUAACGCGAUAAGCACACCGCCUGGGGAGUACGGCCGCAAGGUUGAAACUUAAGGAAUUGACGG
rnacentral:rRNA from 1 species